CUGAUUUGCUUAAUUGCACCACAUGUGUUUUUCUUUGAAACAAACUUGCUUUGGCGGUGGGCCCAGCCUGCCGCCAGAGGUCUAAACUUACAACCAAUUUUUUAUCAACUUGUCACACCAGAUUAUUACUAAUAGUCAAAACUUUCAACAACGGAUCUCUUGGUUCUCGCAUCGAUGAAGAACGCAGCGAAAUGCGAUACGUAAUAUGAAUUGCAGAUAUUCGUGAAUCAUCGAAUCUUUGAACGCACAUUGCGCCCUCUGGUAUUCCGGAGGGCAUGCCUGUUUGAGCGUCGUUUCUCCCUCAAACCGCUGGGUUUGGUGUUGAGCAAUACGACUUGGGUUGCUUGAAAGACGGUAGUGGUAAGGCGGANNCUUGACNAUGCUUAGGUUACCAAACAUGCUGCGCGUAGUUACAGAAUUCA
rnacentral:misc_RNA from 1 species